rnacentral:tRNA from 1 species
CCGUAGCUCAGUUGGUAGAGCAGCGGACUGAAAAUCCGCGUGUCGCUGGUUCAACUCCGGCCGGA